AGGGAAGGGAGGUGACUGGAGAUCCUGCAGAGCCCACUUUUUUGCAGGCAUCAUAAUGUUCUCUUCAUCCCCCUCUGCCCCAGCUGAUGUAGCCAGUGGUUCUUCUGCUCUGCAGUCUGAGGUCCCUUCAAAGAGAUGAUUUGUUCUCCAAAAUCAAGCAGCAACGACUAAGAUUACAUGGCAGCUUUGAUUUUCAUAGCUGUGGGACCGCCGCAUUCUCACCUGACAGCCUCUUUCAGCCUCCCAGCAACAACUUGUAAUCACUUCAGUCAUGUUGUCUAUUUUUAGCUCACAUAAAAUUCGUUCUCUUUUUUUCAAAAA